rnacentral:rRNA from 1 species
UACGAAGGGUGCAAACGUUGCUCGGAAUUAUUGGGCGUAAAGCGCACGUAGGCGGCUUAGCAAGUCGGAUGUGAAAUCCCUCGGCUCAACCAAGGAAGUGCAUCCGAAACUGCUGAGCUUGAGUACGAAAGAGGAUCGCGGAAUUCCCGGUGUAGAGGUGAAAUUCGUAGAUAUUCGCAAGAACACCAGUGGCGAAGGCGGCUCACUGGCCCGAUACUGACGCUGAGGCACGAAAGCGUGGGGAGCAAACAGG